rnacentral:rRNA from 1 species
ACCAUGCAAGUCGAACGGAAAGGCCCUGCUUUUGUGGGGUGCUCNAGUGGCGAACGGGUGAGUAACACGUGAGUAACCUGCCCUUGACUUUGGGAUAACUUCAGGAAACUGGGGCUAAUACCGGAUAGGAGCUCCUGCUGCAUGGUGGGGGUUGGAAAGUUUCGGCGGUUGGGGAUGGACUCGCGGCUUAUCAGCUUGUUGGUGGNGUAGUGGCUUACCAAGGCUUUGACGGGUAGCCGGCCUGAGAGGGUGACCGGCCACAUUGGGACUGAGAUACGGCCCAGACUCCUACGGGAGGCAGCAGUGGGGAAUAUUGCACAAUGGGCGGAAGCCUGAUGCAGCAACGCCGCGUGCGGGAUGACGGCCUUCGGGUUGUAAACCGCUUUCGCCUGUGACGAAGCGUGAGUGACGGUAAUGGGUAAAGAAGCACCGGCUAACUACGUGCCAGCAGCCGCGGUGAUACGUAAGGGUGCGAGCGUUGUCCCGGAUUUAUUGGGGCGUAAAGGGCUCGUAAGGUGGUUGAUCGCGUCCGGAAGUGUAAUCUUGGGGCUUAACCCUGAGCGUGCUUUCGAUACCGGUUGACUUGAGGAAGGUAGGGGAGAAUGGAAUUCCUGGUGGAGCGGUGGAAUGCGCAGAUAUCAGGAGGAACACCAGUGGCGAAGGCGGUUCUCUGGGCCUUUCCUGACGCUGAGGAGCGAAAGCGUGGGGAGCGAACAGGCUUAGAUACCCUGGUAGUCCACGCUGUAAACGGUGGGUACUAGGUGUGGGGUCCAUUCCACGGGAUCCGUGCCGUAGCUAACGCUUUAAGUACCCCGCCUGGGGAGUACGGCCGCAAGGCUAAAACUCAAAGGAAUUGACGGGGCCCCGCACAAGCGGCGGAGCAUGCGGAUUAAUUCGAUGCAACGCGUAGAACCUUACCUGGGUUUGACAUGGAUCGGGAGCGCUCAGAGAUGGGUGUGCCUCUUUUGGGGUCGNUUCACANGGUGGUGCAUGGCUGUCGUCAGCUCGUGUCGUGAGAUGUUGGGGUUAAGUCCCGCACCGAG